GGGAGCGUAGCUCAAAGGCAGAGCACUGCGCUGUGGCCGCAGGGGUUGCGGGUUCGAGUCCCGUCGCUCCUC
rnacentral:tRNA from 1 species